UCACACGACCUCGGUUUGGUGGA
rnacentral:siRNA from 1 species